AAGGGUGCCUGGACGGAAGAAAGCUUAAUGGUAGAAUGAGUUUUGUGAAAGGAGCAGUUAGUAGAGUCAGUCGAAUGGUGUGUACUGUGUAGUGAUAAGUUAAGUGACGUCGUUUUGGUAACAAUUCUAAACAGUUCUAGAACUCUCCUUCCACACAUUUCGACUUGGUGAAAAAUUGCUCAGGUCCUGUUCGUCUUCCCUGUUUUUCGAAGUAGGGAUACUGUUCGAUUGGUUUCGAUCCAACGGCGCAUGUUGUAGAGCUGUACACCAAAGAGAGUUUUCAGUUCGAAACCUUCUCAGAAUCGGAAGAGCUCAAGUGUUGUUCACUGGAGGAGUGCAUGAGCUUGAAGAUCAUCUGACUAGAGAACUAGCAUGUACUUCUCCAUUUGUCUUGGGUAUUACUGUGAAACAAACGAAUCCGCAAUUUCAUGCGUGGAAGAGGUACGAUAAACUAUUGAGUUGGCUUCUUGCUUUAGUUUUUGAAACAAUGUUUAGUGUUGUAUCAAAGUGUGAAACAUCGAAUGAAGUGUGGUGUGUGUUGGAGAAUUAUUUUGUUACUGAAUCGAAGGUUAGAGUGAUGAAACUUUGGAAUACUUUACAAAAUCUAAAGAAAGCAUCUUUGAGUGUGUAUGACUGUAUGAAGAGAAUGAAAGAGAUUGUGGAUUUUUGAUAGUGGUCA